rnacentral:rRNA from 1 species
AGAGUUUGAUCAUGGCUCAGAAUCAACGCUGGCGGCGCGCUUAACACAUGCAAGUCGCACGAGAAAGUGGAGCAAUCCAUGAGUAAAGUGGCGUACGGGUGAGUAACACGUGGGUAAUCUACCUCUUAGUGGGGAAUAACCCUGGGAAACCGGGGCUAAUACCGCAUAAGCUCGAGAGAGGAAAGCAGCAAUGCGCUGAGAGAGGAGCCCGCGGCCGAUUAGCUAGUUGGUAGGGUAAGAGCCUACCAAGGCAGAGAUCGGUAGCCGGCCUGAGAGGGCACACGGCCACACUGGCACUGAAACACGGGCCAGACUCCUACGGGAGGCAGCAGUGGGGAAUCUUGCACAAUGGGGGAAACCCUGAUGCAGCGACGCCGCGUGAGCGAUGAAGCCCUUCGGGGUGUAAAGCUCUUUCGGCAGGGAAGAUUAUGACGGUACCUGCAGAAGCAGCUGCGGCUAACUACGUGCCAGCAGCCGCGGUAAUACGUAGGCAGCGAGCGUUGUUCGGAGUUACUGGGCGUAAAGGGUGUGUAGGCGGUUCUUUAAGUUUGGUGUGAAAUCUCCCGGCUCAACCGGGAGGGUGCGCCGAAUACUGAGGGACUAGAGUGCGGGAGAGGAAAGUGGAAUUCCUGGUGUAGCGGUGAAAUGCGUAGAUAUCAGGAGGAACACCGGUGGUGUAGACGGCUUUCUGGACCGUAACUGACGCUGAGACACGAAAGCGUGGGUAGCAAACAGGAUUAGAUACCCCCGUAGUCC